UACGUAGGGUGCAAGCGUUAUCCGGAAUUAUUGGGCGUAAAGAGCUCGUAGGCGGUUUGUCGCGUCUGCUGUGAAAACCCGAGGCUCAACCUCGGGCCUGCAGUGGGUACGGGCAGACUAGAGUGCGGGAGGGGAGAUUGGAAUUCCUGGUGUAGCGGUGGAAUGCGCAGAUAUCAGGAGGAACACCGAUGGCGAAGGCAGAUCUCUGGGCCGUAACUGACGCUGAGAAGCGAAAGCGUGGGGAGCGAACAGG
rnacentral:rRNA from 1 species